rnacentral:lncRNA from 1 species
AGCGUUCGAACUCUUCAUUAAAAAAGGAUUAGGUCCGGUCGAACGUCCCAAGAGAAAAGCAGAGAGUGACAAGAGCGUUCGACUAUCAAUUGAAGAAGGAGGAGUUGGCGUUCGAACGCCAGGCAAAUCCUGUAAAGAUUCUAAUCUUUUUUAGGACUACUCGAUUUGAAAUGUGCCAUCUUAUAUCUUUAAUCUUUUGACAAGAGAUGAUUUUUAUUAUUUUUAGGAUUUUUCUCUCAGCCUCUAAUUUUAGUUUUCAAGGUUUUCUUCAUCUUCAUUAUUUCUUGUAAAAGUUUUUCAUUACAGUCUUGUUUGUUUUAAAUUAAUUAAAGUUUUUUUUUGUCAUCUCAAUCAUUGUUUUUUUUUUUUUUUUCAUUUUCCUGGUGUCGAUUUAAUUAUCUUGGUUUUAUAUCUUGAGAUUAGUAUUUAAAUUAGAUCAAUUCAAUAUUAGAUAUUCGGUUACCCUAUUCAUGAGUGGCUAGUUUUCUUUACUUGGAUCGAUUUGUGAAAGUCAUCGGGAAUCAAGAUGAACAAUGGAGUAAUUAUUUUCCAUUUCACACCGUUAGAUCUUUCUAGAAAUUUUUAUUCUUCAUCUUUUCUAAUCUAAUACCUUUCGAAAACUUGGGAGUCCUAUUAGGUUUCGAUAACAAUCGUGUUUUUUUUUUUUCGAUUCGAUGAAUGCACGGCCAUAAUUAUAACAAAACAGAUUUAAUUACUUUUGAAAACUUGAGAGUCCUAUUAUGUCUAAUACCUCUUUUGUGAUGCGAACUCGAUGAUGCACUUUUGAUCUAACAAACAGAUUUAUUUAGAGGUAAGUAAGUAAGAAUGUUUGGGCUUUAAAAGUUAAAUUUUCCGAAUCCAAGACUCAGAAUAUGUGCGAGGAUUUGAAGUUAAUAUGCUCUCCGGAGUCCUAGAAACUCGUUGACUGGAUCAAUCGAUCUGAUUCUUUUUCUUACCUUUAAUUCCGUUUUUUUUUAUUUUAGUUUAUUUAAAUUUAGAGUUCAAACUCAUCAAAUACCAAAUCAAUUCUUUUAAUUUUUAUUUUUAAUUUUUGAAGCAUAAGUAGACUUUAGUUAGGAUUGCAUUGUAGUGUUUUGGUCAGCUUUGUUUGUCACCUUGGCAUUGUUCCUUUGGGAUCGAACUGUACUCUCGGUUUUUAACUACUUUCGCGACCCGUACACUUGCGGUAAAGAAUUCCCUCUGGGAGGAAUCAGAUUUUGGUGCUAUAGAAUUUUUUAUACAGUAACAAGCAGAGUAAUUUAUUUCAGGCCAAUUGGGAAUUUGCAAUCAUCAUGAGAAAAAUAUCAGGGUGAUGAUUGUAACGUUUGAUAGUCUUGAAUUUGAAUAUUUCCAACAUAUGUCUUAUACUACCAACGAAUGAAGAUGGCAAAAUUAACGUUGACCAACUUGAUCAGGUUCCCAAACCUUUUCACCAAUUCUAUCAAAAACCCUUGUAAGUUCUUCCCGAGUCCUCCCUAGUCUCCAAAGAUUGAUCAUAUUGUAAUUCAGCGGUUUUCUCAGUUGGCCAGCCCAGACAUCUACCAAACUCUUGAAAUAGUUUUUCUUUUUUUCUCUGCUCUCAAAAUUAAUUGAUACUCGUACUCCUUCAAUAUACGAUAACUAUAAAAUUGCAAUUGGUGAGACGCUCAUUUGCCGGUUACCGCGUAUGACAGCCUAUUGUUUUCAAUUGGUUCCCAUUCCAAGCAGCUUCCCCUGAGGGAACAUGACCAUAAUGAAAUGGUAAUAAGGCUGGGUGACAUUCACUAAUACGCAUUAACUCAUUGUUUCCUUUCCUCUAAGAUGUAAGUCAAUGUCUUCAUUCCAUUGCUUCGUUCCAUCAUCCUGGUAAUAUAACUGCAUCUCUCUCUUACAAUAAUAAACUGGAAAAUUAUAACCGUCUUCUUUCCGUCCCCAGCACAGCACAGCAACUAGAAUGGAGAUAAUGCAAUCAGAUGUUCACCCUGCCUGUGUCUGAUUUGAUUUAAAAGUUCAUAAAAAAAAGCCCUGGCAAAAAAUUUUAUCGGCAUGCAUUAUACUUAGUAAAGUAUCCCUGGACAGUCUGGAUUACAUCUCUUCUCAAGUGAGGAUUUCUACGAUUGCGACGUCAAAGCAGAAUCCGUAUGUCAUAUAUGUAAAGUUGGGCAUAAAUCCUUCAUGCUAGGCUGUGGAAGUAGUGCUCCUGUUCUUUGGCGCAAUUCCAUGGAUAGUGAAAGAUGUAAGACCCCUUCCAAGCAAGUAUCUUGAAUGCAUUUAAAUCAACCCCAAACUCGUAAAGCAUUACUUUCAUUUAUUGUCGGGCUACUUUUGAAAAGAUUUAGAUUGCUCAAUUAUGUCCAUCAUAUAACGCUUGAAGUUGUGGAGGUAGAUUAAUUUUUCCUUGCAAACAACAACGUCCCAAAACGGGGGCAAUGAUAGGUUGAGUUUGCUAAUUUUUUUCAUUUCCAGGUAAGGCUAAACAAUCGAACAUUCUACCAUCCAUCAUGCCGAGGAAAUGGCGAUCUAGAAUUCGUGUGCUCGAUCUCACCACGGUAUCUUAUCUGUGUACCUUCCUAAUUCAUCAUCACUAACAAGAUGUCCUUCCGUGCACAGCGUUGAUUUGUAGAAUUUUGCCUACAAUAUAUAUUAUAAAUUUAACAUGAUUUUAUCUUUCGCACAUAAUAGAACACAAUAUUUAUACACAGUUAUUCAAUUCUGUUUCUUGGGGGUGAAGUUAUCUCGACAUAGUAACUCAUCGCAAAGGUAGUUCCGCUUGUCUUGUGAUGAUUUCGUUGACAUCUAAGCUCGAAAGGGCUUCACCAAGAUUUUGUGGAGGAGGCAUAGCAUGCAAGUCUACAUGGUUGAGAGGUUUCGGAUGACUACCCACUCUACCACAAUGAUAGAGUUUCUUCCACCAAUUGGCCUUAAUAAAUCAUGCGGCGUUCCGUGAAAUUAGAGACUCCUAACAGAUUUUACUCCAGUUGGUGCACACGGUACGGUUAGUAUAUGAUUAGUUAUACCCAUGGGCACGGAUGUCGAGUUAAUGCUUGGGUUAUGUGUAGACCCUUCCACCAUGCGACGAUGACGUCUUUUGUUUAAAUUUGGAAUAUUUUAGUUGAAUACAUUUCGAUGAUUUCUCCUGUUCUCAGUCGGUGCGUUGGGCCAACACAGAUUUGAUAUAAAUUAUCACUGGGUGCCUUCAAAUUAGAAUAUGUAACAUGUGAAAAAUAUUUGUUCAUGUGCCACACAUUAAUAAUAAUUUAAACAAUCUCUAUAGUCUACAAAUCUUGAAAUAGAAAUUUUACGAUACAAAAAGUAAAUAAUAUACAUCAACAAUGAAAGUUUUUAAUUGUCACAAACUCUAACAUUGGUUGAAAAUAUACAGUUUUAGCAAGAAUGUAAGCAUUUCCUUUUCCCGCUUCGAGCUUGUCAUUGCCUUUGUCUUUGCUUUUUUUCCUUUUUUUUCUUUAAAAGAAGUAUAAAUAGUUAUAAAUUCAGGAGAAAAAACAUAAGUAAAGGCAUAGUAAAUAUAAUGUGGUUGGUGAGUUAACCUCAGAAAGGCAAAUUGCAUUAUAACUCCCUCGCUUGUCACUAAUAACAACAUCUUGUUUCUUCUUUGCCUAAGAAAUUGUACCUUUAUAGCGAAAUGCAAUUGAAAUGUUAUAAUUUAAUUGCAAUCUACGUUAAAUAAAUAGAAAAAUUAGAAAGGGAAGCAGUUGUUCUGUCCUCUUCUAGUUUCCAUCUAACUGUAAAAAUUAAAUGUAAAGUAAAAUAGGCAUCAUUUGUUGGUAAAAUCUAAAGAAUAAUCUAUACGAAUAACGACUUACCUUGCCAAUAUUAUAAAAUGUUAUCCAUGAAGUAGAUGCGUAUUAGUGUCCCUGUACCAUGAACCUAAUUAUGGUCGGUUACAAUCAAAGUAAGCAGGGUAAUAAAAAACAGUAAGGAAGGCAAUAUUCUGGGAGUUUUUCUUGAUUCUAUUAUUUUGUUAAGUAAGGAGGGAAUAAAUUAUUUUGUAGGCUCCCGUUUGGUAUACUAUACUUAAAAACUAAGGUUUUUUUAAGCUUACUACCAAAGAGGCCAAAUUUUUUAAAUUUGGUGUUUUUGCUUUUUUGGCUUUACUUUAGCUAAACUAAGCAAAAAAAUAAAGUAAAAGCAAAAAAACAACUCUGAGUGACUUUUUUGCUUAUUUUUUAAGGGCAAAAAGCAAUAAAAAGCUGUGCCAAACCGAACCUUAAAGUAAGGAGUCAAUAAAAAAGCAAAAAAUUCACUUUCUCAUUUUAAAUUUAAAAAAAUAUUUUGUUCACAACCACCUAUACCUCUAGCCCCAACAAUAAGCUUUGAAUUUAUGACAUUUUUGCUUACCAUUUUGGGUACAAAAAAAUAACUAAAACCGCUUAAAAGUUAAAAAAAUUUAGACUAAAAAAUAAACUUUACGAUAAAAUUGAGAAAAUAAUCUAAAAAUAUUUUUAUAGUUUUAAAAAUCAACCUUUACAAUCUAAAAUUUUGAGAAACCCCACAUCUAACUUGAUGUGGAAGUGAAUUGGAUUCAAUAUUUGUCCUAAAAAUUAAUUGUGAUUUUUUUGUGUAGAAAAAGAAAAAGAAAAAGAAUAUUGUCAAAAAAUUUAGACUUAAAUUGAAAUAUAUUUUUUUAUAUUUUCUUAAACAAAAUCAAACAUAUUUAUUAGGUUACUGUUUUUAAUAGAUUAAAUAAUAUAACAUUUAAUAAGUUAGUUAAAUACAGUACUCAAAAAUAUUUUAACUUUAUAGCUAGAUUUAUCCAUUUCUUAUUCCUGUGUGUAAUAAGUUGAAAAAAAAAUGCUCCCAAAAAUGCUCCAAUCUUUGAUAAUUCAAAGAAUUUAGACUCAUUCGAUUCUCCUAUUUUUUUAAUAACUAAGCACUUGAUGUGUUUGAAAAAAGUGAUUUUAGUUAUCCAAAAAAUAUCUCUAAAACUUCCAACUCCAUAUUUUGUAGGCGAAUCCCAGAACUAUAACUCUAGUCCAGAAACUAUAACUCUAGCAUAAAACUAAAAAGUUUAUAAAAAACUCUUGCAAAAUUAUGUAAAGCUUCCUGAAAGUAAACAAUGAAAGUAUUUUUAUAAUUCCAUUAAUUAGCAACAAUUAACAUUUUUCAUUCAAUUUAGCAACCACAUAUCUGCACAAAAUUAGAUAAUUUGCUUUUUUCUAGUGAGAGCACUUCCAUGGAAAGAACCAAGCCUUUACUCAGCACACCAGCAUUAAAUAAUCAAUGACACAAAUUUUAAUUAAAACCAUGCCUUACCAUGGAAAGCACUUUAUCGAAAAAUUUCAUGAAAAAACCAUAAUAAAUAAUCAUGAAAACCAUAAAUAAAUAAACAACCCAUUCAAAUUACAUUGUUGAUCAUCAAAAAAAGGUUAUUGGAAAACAGACAACUGCUAUCGGUGCCGAGAUGGCAUUCGAAAAUGAUUGCCAGCAGUGUCCCUAAAAAAUGUCGUCAGUCACACAGAUAACGGAUGUGGUUACAAAAAUGUUUUUUUCGCUUGGUAAUUUGUCGCACCAUAGAUGUUCCCAAAAAUUUCCACUGAGUCAGUCUCAAAAAGUUAACUAUAAUUAAGUAUAUAAUGUCCUCAUCUUUUUAUCUUAACUAAUUAACUAAAACACUGAUAAAAUACUACCCUACCAUAAUAUUAAGAAUUAUAUGUUAAGCAUAUACAUGCACGCGCACACAGAUAGAGAGGGGGCCUUUGUCAGAUGUCAAAGCUGAUAGAUGUAAAUGCAAAGGACAGCUUUGGGGACUCAGUUACUGCUCACUAAUCACUAAACCUGAUAAAACUACUACCUGCCAUAUAUUAAGAUAGAAUAUGAAGCUCAUACAGCACACCAUGGCACACACAAAGAGAGAGAGAGAGAGAGAUAGGCCUUUGUUCAAAUUUGAGGACCCAUUACUGCUCAAGCCUUCCUACAUUUCGCUAUUCUUUCUCUCCUCUCUCCUUAAACCUCUCAGUUUACAGUCGGAAUGAAUGAGGGAAAAGAGAGAAGAGAGAGCAUAGGGGUACCUUUGUGGGGAGUUGAGAAUUGGUUGUAGUGGCAAAGACUACUGCAAAUUAGUGAGGGCGACGCGUCGACGCCGUAUGAAUCGAGAUUUGGUUGGGUCCGGAUGAAGGUACUAAAAACAAAGAAAGCGCCAGUAAAUAAAUUAAGGCUACCUACGAUGCACGGCUUCUCGCGACUGCGAUAAUAAUUAGCUCCUACGGGCUCAAUAUCGGAGGUGAAGGCGAUAAGUUGCCGACGAGGUGAAUGGCCUGUGACAGACAAAAAAUUAUUCUCACAACACAAAAAAUAGUUUUCCUCUUUUUUUUUUUAUAAAUUGUCAAAAUUAUCCAACAGGAGCUUGAGAAUCGACAAAUUUAUAGCUCUUCCAUCAAGAUUAUCUUACGGAGAGAGAUAAAAGUUGGAAUUAAAAAUGGAUUUAGUGAUGGUUUAAAUCGAAAAAAAUUAAGAACCAAGGCAACAUAUAAUUAUUCUCACACAAAAAAAAAAACAAGAUAGAAAGGCUACCGACGGGCUCGAGAUCAGGGCGCAGGCAUAUGGGUUGCCGACGUACUGGCGAUGAUGAGUCCGCCGCUAGGUACAGCGCGUCUUUGAAGUUUCGGGAUGACCUGUGAUCAACCAAGGCAACAAAUCAAUUAACUCACUCACACAAAAAAAAAAACAGAUAUAGAGACAGAGAGAGAGAUGUCUGUUUUUAAAUGCAUAAGAGAGAGAGAGUGAGAGAUGUGUGGAGGGCAAAUCACCUUCAGUUAGGCUGUAUAUAGAAAUGGAGGUUGGGUGAACGAACUCAAAAACCCGCAAUAAUCGUGAAUGAAGUUGAGUGGAGAGAGAGAUAGAGGUGGAGUGAGCUAGAAUGGAUGUGUAAGCAAUACUCUAGAGUCUGGAUGAGUUGAUUUGUGGUGUGGUGCAGAUAGCAGAGAGAACAUUUGAGCCCUGUAUUGAUAGUGAUGGUUGAGUGAUGUUGGACAAACAUUGAGCCGUGUGAACCUUGCGUGGUAGAGAAGAUAGGUGUGGCUGGAAUCUUGACGUCUAAUAAAAUGAAAUCAAUCCUUUGGCGUUUUGAUCGGAAAGUGAUAUUUUUUGAGUGAAAAAAUAAUUUAAAGGUGAAAUCUUGAACCGUUGGAUCAACUUAAAUGAAUUUGGAGCCGUAGUUAGCGAGAGAUAGCUUUUGAUUCAAACUAAGUCCUGAUUUAGAAUAUAGAUUUCCAAAAAAGAAAUAUUAUAAUCAAGUGACAACCAUGGACAAUAUCGAGCUGCUAUAGAGAAACCUCUAAACUUGAACUCUAUAAUCUUAAAGAAGAUGGUUGAUGUAAGGAACCAUAGUAGUCGAGCGCUACCUUUUGAUGUUCUUCUAACUAAGGUUUUUAAGCACUUUAGACUCAAAUUCAGCAGACAACUCAAUAAGUACAUAGAUAAAGGGUUCUCUAAGCACAUGAUUAGGAGGGGUAUUAGUAUCGAUUCCACUGAAGGGGAAGAAGAGGGAGAAGAACAAAUAAG